UCUGUGCAGAUUCAGAGAGUUCAGGGCCAGAAGGGCCAUUAGAUCAUCUAGUCUGGCCUCCUGUAUAUCACAGGCCAUUACAUUUCACCCGGUUAUCCCUGCAUUGAACUCAGUAACUUGUGUUUGGCUAAAUCAUAUCUUCUAGAAAGGUAUCCAGUCUUGAUCUGAAGAUAACAAGAGAUGGAGACAGUGCCACUUUCCUUGGAGACUGGAAAGCACUUCCUCAUCAGCAUCAUGGAGAAACAGCUGCCUUCCUUCCUGUCUGGGAGAAAUCCUAUCUACCCGUCUCCAAUGAAGUUAAGCAAGGUGUGAUCAAUAACAGGGGAAGCCUCAUUUUAUACAACUCAGCAGAGUGAUGGGAAGUCCACAGGAAGAGAAGAACAGCAUGAGGUCAUCCUGAGCCUUGGAACAAAACAGUAAGUUUGGGAAGAUAUAUGGAAAGAGAAGUCAUCUUGGCAUCUAUUACUGGACAGACACAAGGAGCCAGAGCUUUUGCAAGCUGAGAAAGAUAGUCCUUCAACCAUGGGGUGUCUCCGGGAAUGGAAGAGUGGUAAGGACCUUGAACAAAGAUUGUAGCUUAUUAAGUUAGGUCUCAGCCAUUAGAAUGUGUAUUUUUACUUUUCUUUGUAACCCUUUCUAACUUCAUUCCUUCUACUUGGUAUCACUUAACCC